AGAAUACAAGGAGGAGAAAAACAGUGAACAGUCCUUCUUUUCAUAGUUCCUAGCGCCAGCCAAUCAGUGCUGGGAAGAAACCCCUUGAUGCCCCUCCUCUAGGACUGUGAAACUGUAAGAGUGGAGAGAGAGAGAAAGAGAGAGAGAGGCAGCAAGACAGAGGGAGAGAGACAGCAUAGUCUACACACAGGCUCUGUAUGAGACAGCCUGAGAGUGGGAGAGAUCGAGAAAAAAAGAAAAGCACAGAAAACAAAACAAAGGAAGAAAAGCAGAGGCUGGGACUCAACAAAAGAGAGGGAUAUGUUAAAUUUCUGAAAUUAAAUGAAGCACCAGAAGAGCAUAAAGGGUGGAUAACUCCUCCGAUAAACAUCGGUUCUCCUGAUGCCACGUGGAUAUAAGAAAGUGUGGAAACAAAGGACUGAAAGAGUGCAACGCUCAGUUUGGAACUGAUGAAAUAAUUUGAGGACGCAUUUUUUUAACUUCUGAAAUAAAGAGAUGCUGUUGCUUUCUUCAAAAACGACAUGGUUCUGCUUGUAAGUAAUGACUCAUAAAUCCUUUGCGUAAAGCAAACAGAUUGCUUCUCUGAACUGCCAUGAGUGCAGCACUCAGCUCAUACUUAUUUUAACUAAGCUGGACAGAAUGCUGACGUUCUUCAAGAUCUUAUUCAAAUCUGCAGCAGCCAACCAAAUCUUCUUUUAAGGCUCUCCCGCAAUUAUCAAAUGCCACAACUAGAAGACAACACAGACUUUUAAGAUUAGGGAGCGCAGAAGUGGUGAUAUCUGUGUCGGGCAUGGGGCAGAAACUACAACUCUCUACUGGCUCCUGAACUCCUGAAAGCUCCCUGCCGUGAGAGCUACCACACUCAAAACUAGAGCAGCUUCCAUAAUCAAUGUGCUUAAAAAAAACAGCCCUAUUAACAAGCAAACUGCCACUACUAGUAGCUGGAACUACUGGGAUGUUUGGAGUAAACUCCUACAAUUGAUUUAGAGUGUGCUCCAGAUCCCAUCUUGCCAUCCCAUCUAAACCACUGUGUUCUUAAUGUGUGGGCAUCUACCCCUGUAGCACUCUGGCUGCUCUGCCAACCUCCAGCAGCAUCCUGACGGCACAAUGCUGUGUGCUCAGGGUGUGGCCACCCAUCUGAUGCUUAGCUCACUCCUGUUGCACUUGGCCAGGGCUAGCCUACCUGCUGGCUGCCUUAAAGUAUCAGACAUCCUAAGCUGCAGCAAUCUUGAACUGAAGUGGAUACCAAAAGAGUUACCGGUGACGGCCGCCACCUUGGAUUUCAACCACAACCAUCUGACCAAGCUAGAGGAAGGCAGCUUCGCUGGACUUCCCCAUCUCGUAACCCUGCGGCUGGCCCACAACUAUCUGAGCAACCUCUCCCCUGGAACCUUCCGAAACACAAGCAGUCUGCGCCACCUUGACCUUUCCUCGAAUCAGCUGAACAAGGUGGAAAAUCACUACUUCCAAGAGCUUGUGGGAAUGGAGGAGUUGCUUCUCUUCAAUAAUCAUAUUGUUAGAGUUGAAAGCAAAGCAUUGAUCAGACUGAGCAACCUGCACAAGGUCUACCUCAGCCAUAAUCGUCUGACCGAUUUCCCAUUCUUCUCCAUUCAGGAGCACAGCCAUCCUUUCCUUGUUACACUGGACCUAAGCUCUAACCGUAUGCCCAAGCUACCUGUUGAGGACAUUGCAGCUCUGCCAGCUUCAGUUCAAGGCGGACUAUUCUUGCACAACAACAGUUUGAUCUGUGAGUGUGCAAUGUACAGCAUGUUCAAACAAUGGGAGCAAAAAAACUUCAUCUCAGUCAGGGAUUACCAAGUGGAGCAUACAUGCUUAGUAUAUGGGGAACCUCGUGCCUCAGUACAGUUUCUUGAACACACUCGCUUCUUUGAAAACUGCACUGUAAAGGGACAGAACCAGUUGUGGGAAACGGAGAAUAAUUUGAAAGUGGACGCGGGAGAGUCAGUGUUGCUGGAAUGUAAGACUUCACUGAAGGGGCAACAUCUCACCUACCAGUGGGUAUCACCUCACAAGGAAUAUAUUGUCCCACCAGGCAACAAUGAUGCAAUGCGAAUGUAUGCAAAUGGCAGCCUGGAGAUUACUGCAGUGCGAGUGGAGGACUCUGGUGUCUAUUGGUGCAUGGCAUUGGACCGACAACAUUUACGGAACGAGACAUGGGAGGUAAACAUCACAGUGACGAUGCAUUCCCAUGAGCCCGAGCCCUUCAACACCGGCUUUACCACCCUGUUGGGAUGUGUGGUUAGCCUAGUACUGGUUCUUAUAUACCUUUAUCUGACGCCCUGCCGCUGCUGGUGCCGCAAGCAGCCACUACCUGCAACACCCAGUCCUGCAAAUGAAUGCAGUGCCCAGUCUUCGAUCCUGACGCCUACGCCACCUGCCACCACGGAGGGUCCCGGCCGCAAGGUCAGUAACAACAAGCAUGUGGUCUUUCUGGAGCCCAUCAAGGAGGUACAAAAUGGGAGGCCCAAGGAGGCACUGAUCUCCGAGAAUCCAAAGGUGCACGUACUACGAAACAAUGCUGACUCUUUCAACUCAGUCUUUUCAGACACCACUAUUGUGGCAUAGCAUGAGGUUGCCCUCAACCCCAAUCCUUCAUUCCACUAAAAUAGUGGGUCUUUCAGUGUGGCAGUCUGCAACUUCUGCUGCCUCUCAGGACAGAGCAGGGAGAGGGCUUGACAAGCCAAUUGGCAAAGCAGGGAACACAGCAAACCCAGGAAAGCAAAGAGUAGAAAGCAAAAAUGGCACAGGACAGCCAUGGCAGCCAUAACAGCCCAAGGAAGCCAGGCCUGCCAGCUGAACAUGAUAAGCCCUGAUUCAUUUGCAUAACGUCUGUGCCUAUGAGGGACUCUGCCAUCUGUGUGUGUCUGGAAAGAGGCUGAUUUUCAAGACCAAGAGGAAAGGAAUACACACAUACAUGCGUGCACACACAGACACACAUACAAUAUUGACCUUGCCUUCACCUCAAGUGCAGAUCAACAUGAUCAAACAUGCACUACAGUCAAACAGUCUCUGAAAUCAAUCUAAAAAUCUCCUUGCAUAUGAAUGUAUACAGUCAUUUCGAUAGAUAGAAAGACAGAUGACACAAUGGGACUGUCAUCUGUGUCUCUCUGUUAGACACAUGCUUUCAAAACCAACAGAACAGAACCCAUAGUCAAGAUUUUAUUGUCACAUAUAGCUUAAUUUUAUUUAUAGCGCCCAUCAAUUUUGCGCCAGAAGGCAGCACGGCUGUUAAAGAUUCCCUACUCGUCCUUUGGUUUCCACUACAUAACUUCAAUUUAAUAAAAAAAAAAAAAAAAGGGGCUUCCCUCCUGUACUCUAUGAGAAAUGACAGACAUCACCAUGCAGAAAAAAAACAUCUGAGUAACGGGAUGCAAUAGAUGUAGAUAAAAUGAAAAACCAAAGGAAAUGUGAAUACGUCUCGCUUAACGUGGUAAAAGUGGUUCGUUUUUUUCAUCUUCUAACAUUUCAGUAAGCUUUCCACUGUUAAGACACUCUACUGGAGAAAUCCAAUUAGAUUUGCUUAACAGUCUGUGACCGUGAAGUGAACGGGUGAACGUGUAAUUGAUUUGCUUGUGUUUAUUGGCUAGCUCUUAGCGUGUAAUGGGAUGUAAAAGUUGCAGAAGAAGGCAAAAGAUGCAAAUGAUGUCAACUUAAUUAUCUAAUUAAAACUGGAAUCUCUAACAGAUGGGAAAAAGCAAUACAAAGAUAGGUUCGUGAUGUUAAACAUCAUUAGUUUAAAGGAACAAACAGAGCAGUGACAUUUUGAGAAUGCAAUAGCAAUCAACUGUGAUUUUCCCAAUUCUGUAUAUGGAUAUCAUCUAAAUCAGCAGCAUCACAUCAAAAUAGAACAAUUUCCACAAGCUUGUAUACAGGAAGAGUCUGUCCAGAGACUACAGACCAGGUGGCACAGACAAACUGCUUUCUGAGCUCAUAUAUUGGCUGCAAACAUUGCUGAAUAGGUCAAGUUACCUUAAAAUGGCCUAUCAAUUCUGUCAUGUUAGAUUCUGUUAAUCAUCUGGCCAAGUUUAGCAGUAAAGAAUAGAAAUAUAUUAUUAUGACUCAAAUAUCCUGUUAUAAAUCCUGUCAGUUUAGCGUGUUAGCUCACUAGCAUUAGCAGUGAAGAUUUUGAACACUUUUGAAUAUUACUUAAAAAAUCCUAUCAGAAAUUCUGCCAGGUUACUUUAUUAGCAAACAUUAGCAGUAAAGUAUACAAACGUUCAUUAAUAUGACAUAAGAAUCAUAUCAGAAAUCAUGUCAGGUUAGUUUGUUAGUCAUCUGGCAAGCAUUUGCAGUAAAUAAUAUAAAUAUUUAUUAAUAUCACUUAAAAAUCCUGUCAGAAAUCCUGUCAAGCUAGCUUCUGUUAGCUCACUUGCUAGUGUUCGCAGUGAACUUUAUGAAAAAUUAUUUUAUGUUACUUAAAAAUCAAAAAUCAGAAAUCUUUUGUGAUCUCAGUGUCUUUGAUGGUGGCAUGGUUGUUGGACGGGCUGGUUUGAGUAUUUCAGAAACUGCUAAUCUCCUGUGAUUUUCACGCAGUCUUUAGAGUUUACAUAGAGUGGCAAGAAAAUCAAAAAAACAUACAGUGAGCGGAGGGUCUGAUGAUGAGAGAGGUCAGAGGAGAACGGACAGACUGGUUCCAGCUGACAGGAAGGCCAUGGUAACUCAAAUAACCACUCUUUACAACCAUGGUGAGCAGAAAAGCAUCUCAGCAUACACAACACAUCAAACCUUGAGGUGGAUGGGCUACAACAGCAGACAACCACACUGGGUUCCACUCCUGUCUGCCAUGAACAGGAAUCUGAGGCUAUCAUGGGCACAGGCUCACCCAAACUGGACAGCUGAAGAUAAAAAAAAAAACAAUCUUCUGCUCUUUUUCCAGUCUUCAACUGUCCAGUUUGGCGAGUCUGUGCCCACGAUAGCCUUAUAAAAGAUUCAUGCUCUCGGCUGACAGGAGUGGAACCUCAUGUGGUCUUCUGCUGUUGUAGCCCAUCCACCUCGUUGCUUGAUGUGUUGUGCAUUCUGAGAUGCUUUUCUGCUCACCACGGUUGUAAAUUAUGAUUUAAAUUAUGAUUUAAAAGCUGAUUAUUUGAGGUACUAUAGACUUCCUGUCAGCUCAGACCAGUCUGCUCAACAAGGUGUUUCAGCCUGCAGACCCUUGGCACACAAGAUGUUUUUUACACCAUUACACCAUUCUGUGUAAACUCUAGAGACUGCUGUAUGUGAAAUUCCCAGGAGAUCAGCAGUUUCUGAAAUACCCAAACCAGCCUAUCUGGCACCAACCACCGUGCCACGACUAAAGUAACAGAGAUCACAGUUUUUCCCUAUUCUGUUUGAUGUGAACAUUAACUGAAGCUCUUGACCUGCAUCUGCAUUAUUUUAUAAAUAAUCAGGUGUACAGGUGUUCCUAUAAAAGUGUACGGUGAGUGUAUACACAUAUGCACACACACACACACACACACACAAAAUUGAUGACACACCACAUUUCCAUAUAUGCACACAAAAAUACACCUCUUGUGGUCCAUCCACAACCACAGCAUGUCAGCAUUACUCAUUUUCUGUUUUGUUAGUUUUUUUCCAAACAAUACUACAUCUAUGUCUGUAUGUAGCCCUUUAAUUUAUUACUAGUUUAUAGGGCUGGUUUAGGAAUCGUCAAGAGUAUUCACUCAAGAGCAUUUGUAUUUAUGAAUAUACUUAUAUUUGUUACAAUGUGUGCUCAAAGGUAGACACAGGCACACGGGUUCAGAACAGUCAGCGGACCUCUACAAAUAACGCCUGGACGUGUUUGACUGUAAAUUUCACACAAGAUAAAUCAUCCACAGUGCCUCUGGUUUGCCCUUUAAAGUUGAUGCUAAUUGAAUUGGCACAUGCAGUCCAACUCACAGAAAAAAACAAAAAAACACAAACCUUUUUUGUUAAUAUUAAUCUCAUCUCAUUUAUUGUGUUAUCUUAAAAAAAGAUGAUUCUAAAUGUGUUUUGAACACGACUACAAUACGCUGUGCAUGUCUUAGCCAGGGCUCUAAUGUGUUUGAGAGUAAAGCGAGUAUAUCUUGAGAGGACACUCUCCAUAAUGAAUGGUUUUCCAGUGAAAGCCUGAGGGCUGCCUCCAUUAAGAAUUCAUCAAAUCCUCCAAACUUCACUUCUCAGCAGAACAAGCAGCAAACCAAUAUCAAUGUGCUGUGCUGAAAAAUAGUGUAGGUAAACCAGCUGGUAUUAUGGAAAUGGACAUAAGCGAUUGAUCAGGUGAACCACAAUUAAGUUGUCCUGAACAAAACAAAUGAAGAUCCACCACUUCAGCUAAACCUUGGUUUAUCAGUCACUUUAUAUUCAUCAUUAAUGUAGGCGCUUUAUACCGUGCUCCAUACUGAAUCCAUUAUACCGACUCAUAAAAGGCAGCUAUUCCUGGACUACCUCCUUCCAAAUUGACAUAUUAAGUUCCAGUUCUUGCCAAUACAUCACUGACUUGAGGCAUUUGCUGCUCUUCUGUAUUUGUUGCUCAGCACUGUGUAUCACUACCAUGAUCCCUGAAGGAUUUUCCUCCUUGUGUGUGUGUGUGUGUGUGUGUGUGUGUGUGUACUCUCUGACAUGUAGCUCAACAGGAUGUUUAGACAUGAAGCUAAAGGCUAGAGUUGGCUUAAGUUAAUUAUCUGACAUCACUAAUAAGAAUCCAGAGCCAAGACUAAAUCAUGUCGCUACUGAGAAGCCAUCUGGGGUCUUUUCCAAUGACAUGGUUCCAGCUGUGCUGCUCAGUGUUGUUCAAAAUGGACAAUCAGUUUAUAAAAAAAAAAAAAAAAAAAAAAAACAAUCUAGCUUAUCUCAUGUUCCAAGGCCAUUGCCUUAUAUGCUCUGCUUUGGAGAAUAUUAACAUAAAUCUCUGCGGUGACAAAAUAUUUAGAUGUUCAGAGCUCCAAACAUUUGGUUGGAUGGUCUACUGUGAACUCAGCUGAAAGAGAUAACUGAAGCAGGCCAACUGCUGGGCCGAUUUGUACCCUGCUAAAGAUGAAUGGAUUCACUCUGAUCCAAUAGCAGGGGAGUCACUGCAGAUGACAGGACGGCAGGGUACUAAAAAUGAUCCCAUCCAGCAACUGUGUACUCGCUUAAACUCUUUUAAACAGGAGAGCGAAAUCAGCAGGUGAUGAGUGGAGGCUUGACAAUACUUAAUUUACAAAGACCAGCUCAGAAAAUGAGAGCCUGCACCAAACAAUGGUCACAAAGUCAAUAAAACAUUAGCAUUUCAGGAGAGAGUGUCAACACAACACAAUAUCACCUUCUACCAUUAACCCACGCUGAUAAUGGCUGCCAUUGAUAUCUAUUCAAAACAGAAGUCGUCUGGGUGAAUAACACUUGCUAAACAGCCCUGGUCUGUUUCUCGAACACAAACACCUGAAUUUACAGUCUUAAAAAGAGAAAUACUUAACAUAACAGCUCUGAUUCUGGGUCCAAACCCAGGCUCAAUGUACACUAUACGGCCAAAAUUAUGUGGACACUUGACGACCACGCCCAUAUGUGGGCCUUCCCCAAAGCGUUGCCACAAAGUUGGAGGCACACAAUUGAUUAGAAUGUAUGUAUGCUGUAGCAUUACAAUUUCCCUUUACUAGAGGGAAGGGUUGAGCCCAAACAUGUUCCAACAUGACAAUACCCCCAUGCACAAAGCGAGAUCCAUGAAGACAUGGUGUGCCAAGGUUGGUGUGGUAGAACUCGAGUAGCUAGCAGAGAACUCUGUACUCAACCCCACUGAACAUCUUUGGGAUGAACUGGAACACCUACUACACGCAAGGCGUCCCUGCCCAACAUUGGUGCCUGGCCUCACUAAUGAUCUUGUGGCUGAAUGGGCAAAUCCCCACAGCCUUUCUCCAAAAUGCAGUGGAAAGCUUUCUCAGAAGAGUGGAGGUUACUUACAGCCUCAGAUUUGGGGAGGGGCGGGGGGUCUAAAUCUGGAAUAGGAUGUUAAAUAUGAACAUAGGGGUGUGAUGGUCAGGUUUCUACAUACGUUUGGCGAUACACCUUUUCCAUCACUCUCCAUCAACAUUUAUUAUUUUAAGGUGAAUGUUCAGUAGACCUGAACAUUACUUAUGGAUGUGCUCAGAGCUGUUCUCAAGAUUGGCCCCUAUUCACUUCACUUUUCACACAGCAAGGCACAGUUUUGUACUGCCUUCCCUCAGAGCUCCAUUUGGUUGGUGUGUUUAAGAAAAAAGAAAAGAAAAAAAAAAAAAAAAGCAGUACUGAACCAGUAGCUGCUGCUUGGGAACAUUGGUCACCUGCUGAGGGGAAGCCAAUAGAAAGGUUGCUAAUUCUAAUAACCACUCUAUAUUUCUUUAUACCAUAUACUCAAAAGUGGAAUAAUAUAUAUUUUUAAUAAAAUGGCACUUUCUUGUACUGUAAUGGCGGCGUCCCAUUUCAGAGGGUAUUUUGCUUCAUUCUCAGAGCCGCUGUUUUAGAAAAUUAAAAGAUUAAAAAAAGCCCAGGUUACAGGUAUAAAUGUGGCAGUAUUUAAGAUCUGCAAAAUAUUGCAAUGUUUCAGUUAUUAACUAUUUUCAAACAGAAAAUAGGGUUCAUCAUCAAAAAGAAAGAGGUGUGUCAACACUGUUUAUAGACAAUGACAAACUACAUGUUAGAAUACAUCAAAUGACACAACUCACAACAGUAAAAUGCUUGUUCAUGUAACACAUGUGACUUUAAUGAGCCACAGAAGAUUCUUCUCAAACUCUCAAGUCUUAUUCUCAAAGUCUUCUUCUGGUGUUUAACACUAUUAGCCGGAACUGCACAUGCACACUGGAAACAACUGAAUGUAGUGGUUUAUCGAGUCAUGCUGAUCAUAACACUUCCCUAUCACCUAAAAGGACAGCCACUUCAUUAAUGGUAACAUGUAAAGAGCAAAGCUGUCACUCUUAGCAAGUCACAGAGCUGCUCAGAUGGUUAGCAAUACAAAUGUGCAAGUGUGCAAUGGAACAAGUUGUGAAAUUCUGUUCAAUUGGACUACUUGGACAUGUUGAAAGGUGAACUCCAAAAACAUCGGAAUGGUUUUUCCCACUCCUUGAUCCUACCUCCCACCCAUGACCAUCUUCACAAAGUCCCACCUACCAGAAUCUCCAAGAGUUAGUUUGGUAGCCAGCUAGAUCCACCUCAUUCUACUUAGCAAGUUAAGGCAAAAUUAGCACACAUGGCAAUUAUACACACAAAACACUGAUACACCAUUCACAAGUCUACAGAAACAUUCUACCUGUCAAUUUCCAGAUAAAUGUAUCCAAUCUAAGCAACUUGCAGACAUUUUUUAAUACAAAAUGGUUGGUUUUUAGGCUGCUGGUUUAUCAAAACAUAGCUAACUAUCUUACACUCAUUCUACUUAUGACAAAGUUAGCUUUAAAAAAAAUACUGACACACACCAAAUAACUUAUUGUUGUUUUUUGGCUGGUGAUCCAAACUCUUUACCAGUUUAUAACAUUAAUGACUGUUUAUAACUUUAAUAACUUACAUGUCCAGGAGAAAUGUAGCUGAUUUAGUAUCCAGUCAGCAGGUAUCUCCAUUUUCGAAAACCAGCUUCCAAAUUUUAUUUCUUUUUAACAGCAUUACAAAUUUUCCCCACAACAAUAUCUCACAGUGCUUAAGCAAUGAGCACUUUAUUCCUCCAUGUUUGCAUUAAUGAGCAGUAAAACUGAGGGUGUGUAUGUAACCUGACUGACAGGAAGGAUAUAAACACAACCAAGGAGUCCAGCAUGUUUCGUUGUUUUUUUUUUUUUUUCAAGCACUUCUUCUGUCAGCCUUAUGAUACACUUACUUCGAUCACAUUGUAUUGACAAUUACACUUCAUUGUGUUGUUCUCAUUAUUUGUAAUAGUAAAUACACUAAAUAUAUUGACCAGUGCAUCUUUAUAGGAAACAAAUUAUACGACUAUAAAGAACACUAACUGCAUUACAAGGACACAAAGCCAUCACCGUUGUGUAUAAUUUUUGCUUCAAGCCUUUUUUUUUUUUUUUUGCUCUGUGUUUUUUUUUCCUCUUUCUCCU